UGCACUCUGUACCGUGCAACUGGAUCUAUUCAGCACCCACACACUCCCUGGGAUCUCAGGAAGCAGCAGUAAUGCAGCUGUGGAGAUCAUGUGGGAGACUAAAACAAAUGGUGCCCUGAUAUAAUCAUAACAGAGCUGGAGGAAAGGCGAUUUCAGCAAAAAUCUUGACAGCAGAAUCUGCUCCUGUUUAUGUCUGACCUGUUCUCCUUGCAGAAGCAGCAUGACAGAAUGUUUUGCAAAAGAUUUGUAUUUCUAUGCUUGGCUGUCAGCUCUGGAUGUUGCUCCUUGUCUGUAUAAUAAUUACAUGGAAUGCUCAGUGGAGAUGUUCUCUAAAUUGAAAUAAACAGAAUCAAUACAGACUU